CUAAAUCGAGCAGCUCCUCCUUCCUCUCUGACCCACCGUCUCUCUCUCGGAUCGCGCCGCCGCCGCCACGGCCAUGCACCGCCUCAACCGCCGCCCAUCUUUCUCCAGAUCCACCCCCGUCCUCACUCUCUCUUCUCUCUUUCUAGAAUCUGUCGCCGUCACUGUGCAUGCACCGGCGGCGGCUUUCCGGCCUUCCCCACGCCUUGCACUGCCUGAGUAGUUUCCCGACGCCACCACGGCCCGCUGCGUCCUCGCCCCGACUCCCAAAAGGUACUAAACUUCUAGACUUGUGAAGACGUUAAGCUUAAAGGGGGUUAUGAGUGUGCGAGGUUACCCUCGUUGUCGUCGGAGUCACUGCCGGAUUUCGGGCAGAAUCAUGCCCACGAGAUGAGACCUCCAUUUUUAUCAAUGACAUCUAACUAGUAUCCCUUAUCUCUUUACUUUAGUGAGUUGGAACAUACUUUAGCAAUAUUUUUGAAUGCUUGCAUUAUUUGGUGUAUUUUUUUAUUUAUUUAUUUUGGUGGAAUCUUGAUACUUCAAGCUAAAAUCAAGGUAUUAAAAUAUGCAUGUAUUUCAAAAAACCAAAAUUUAGAAUGCAUACCGUAAUUGGUGAUCGAGA